AAAAGUCACUUUUAUAUUCUCCAUGACUCAAUUAAGUUACCUUCAAAAUGGGAAAGUCUGAUUUCUGAUUUUCUCUUACAUAAGCAUGCAUGGGUGCAUUUUUGUUUAGCUAAUUUAUGGUUAGAGAAAUUUUUUAAUUGCUUUGGUCCAUUUUCUGAGGGUACAACAGAGGAGACGCUCUUCGUAAUCUGCAAAUUUCAAGUUGUUCUUACAUCAUUUUGUAGGUUGUAUGAGGUUGAAAUGUGUGAUAUCUUAUACCUAACCAGAAAGUGACAGGUUGUUGAGGAUGGAAGGUGGAGUGAGGAAGAUGCUGCUCUUUUAGUGCCUGAGAACUUAACUGGUAUUGAACAGGGAGAUGGAAAGUAGAAGAUGGUGUUUGACUGAGUCAGCAUUUUACCAGAGAUGGUGUUUACUGUGCUUCUGCUUGCAUAAAGGGAGAGAUCAGCAGUUAGCCACAUUUGAAAGGCAAGGAUACAGGAAUAUAGCAUCUUUGUUAUGAUUUUACUGCAUUUAUUUCUUUCCUAAUUUUGAUUUCAUUUUGUUCUUGUUUUGGUUUUUCUUAUGUCUUCGGUAUACAUGGUGUUGCUGUUGGGAUGAUCACUUAGAUCACUGUCAUGUACCCUACUCAAAAACAGGAUCCUUUUCUUAGAAUUGACAAUGUUCCUGUUCUUCUCAUUGGAGGAAGUCUUGGCUCUCAUUGAAGUUCUUAGUUAGAGUACCUAAUAU